rnacentral:rRNA from 1 species
AUUGAACGCUGGCGGCAGGCUUAACACAUGCAAGUCGAGCGGGGUGAUGGUGCUUGCACUAUCACUUAGCGGCGGACGGGUGAGUAAUGCUUAGGAAUCUGCCUAUUAGUGGGGGACAACAUCUCGAAAGGGAUGCUAAUACCGCAUACGUCCUACGGGAGAAAGCAGGGGAUCACUUGUGACCUUGCGCUAAUAGAUGAGCCUAAGUCGGAUCAGCUAGUUGGUGGGGUAAAGGCCUACCAAGGCGACGAUCUGUAGCGGGUCUGCGAGGUGGAUCCGCCACACUGGGACGGAGAAACGGGCCAGACUCCUACGGGAGGCAGCAGUGGGUAAUAUUGGACAAUGGGGGGAAGCCUGAUCCAGCCAUGCCGCGUGUGUGAAGAAGGCCUUAUGGUUGUAAAACACUUUAAGCGAGGAGGAGGCUCUUUUGGUUAAUACCCAAGAUGAGUGGACGUUACUCGCAGAAUAAGCACCGGCUAACUCUGUGCCAGCCGCCGCCGUAA